CAGAAGGUCAAGGAGAGGGCACGACAAACUGCUGGAGGAAAAAUGUUGAUGGUGGAAAAGUCUACAAAAGAGCCCAGAUGCCCAUGAAGUCUUGCUUGUGCUUGAGCUCAGCUGCAGAAACACAACCUGC
rnacentral:lncRNA from 11 species